rnacentral:tRNA from 1 species
GCCGUUGUGGCGGAACAGGCAGACGCAAGGGACUUAAAAUCCCUCGAAGGAUAACUUCGUAUCGGUUCGAGUCCGAUCAACGGCACCA